rnacentral:rRNA from 1 species
GGUAUGGGAUGAGCUUGCGUCCGAUUAGCUAGUUGGCGGGGCAACGGCCCACCAAGGCGACGAUCGGUAGCCGGCCUGAGAGGGUGAUCGGCCACAUUGGGACUGAGAUACGGCCCAGACUCCUACGGGAGGCAGCAGUAGGGAAUAUUGCACAAUGGGGGAAACCCUGAUGCAGCAACGCCACGUGUGGGAAGAAGCAUUUCGGUGUGUAAACCACCGUCAUGAGGGAAUAAGGCCCGCCUUCGGACGGGAUUGAAUGUACCUUGAGAGGAAGCACCGGCAAACUUCGUGCCAGCAGCCGCGGUAAUACGAGGGGUGCAAGCGUUGUUCGGAAUUACUGGGCGUAAAGGGAGCGUAGGCGGAGAUUCAAGCGGAUUGUACAAUCCCGGGGCCCAACCCCGGCUCUGCAGUCCGAACUGGAUCUCUUGGAUAGUUCAGGGGCAGGC